UUAGUCAAAGGGCAGAGAUCGGAAUUCAAAAAUUGCUAAGUAUUCGAAUGAGCACUCAGAGAGAAAGAAAGAGCGCCUCUUACAAAGAGCAUAACGACGCGGACAAUUUGUAGCAGAGUGUCAACGAAGCUGAUUCUAUUUUCGAGACGACGUGCGUGGCUAUCUUUCCGCCCUGUUCCCUCGUCUUUCUCUGUCUCCACCUACUACUCCAUCGUUUUUCAGCCUGUUGCACCGAGUUACCCCGGUGUGGCGUAAAUUUACACGCGAUUAAUCCGUCCUCGUAGCCGUCUCUUGUUAUCCAGACACGCGAUUCCUCAAUCUGUUCCAUAAAAAUAACAAAAAUGCAAAAAGACAUAGAGUGGCUCACGACACGUACGCAUGCAUGAAAAUCGUCGACUAUUCGGAUUUCAAAGAGAGUUAAGAGUGUUCCUUAUAAAGUGUUUGAAUUAUUUUUGGGUCCUUUAGAGGAAAGUUUUGUUCAGCAUGGAAAAAAUUGGAUGAUGGUGAUAUGGAGAAUCAUUCUUAUUUUGUUGUGAUGUUAACUGGAUUGACAACAAAUUGGAAAUAUAGUAUUUUGGUUUUCAGAAUAUAAAUAUUUAUUGUUUAUUUCUCCAACACGGAAAUAUUUAUCUGCAAAAUAAAAUGGAAAUUAAAUUAUAUUGAAUUUUUUUUAUAUUAACAUGUAUUUGUAGAUUUCCUAAAUUUCCAAGCAUCGAUAAAAAAGAUACCUCAAGAUUGGGCAAUGAUGGCCAUGGAAAAAAACAGGUGAAAACUUAUGUGAAUAUUUUGUUAUAUUACAAUAUACUAUAUAAUUCUCGGUACAUGAAUAAAGUCUGCGUGCACAGGUGGAAUAUUGUGCAUGAUAAAAACACUCGCGCACAAAAAUGUUCUUUCGCGAUUUCUUUUCUUUUUAAUACUUGAGUUUAAACAAUUCUGAUUGGCUCAUGGGGAAUGAUUGACAGAAGAAUGGAUAUUACACGUGCGAAAUACACGUUACCUAGCCUCCAAUCGACUAAUCUUCCUCAAGAAGGUCAUCGUCAAGAUUCACACCCUGAAACAAAAAACGCAUUUUCUAUAGUUAAUAAUUUUAAAAAAUCAUGAACUUAUGUGCUAUGCGAUAUAUUUAAUUGUUACUACCAUAAAUUAAUUUUCUUUUAUUCUUUUUCUUUGAGAUUUUAUUUAACAAAGUUUUCUUCAAUCAUUUUUAUUGUUGUCUAUGUAAUAUAAUAAAAUGAAUAAUUAAAAGAAAUAUAUAUUUAAUUAAAA